rnacentral:snoRNA from 14 species
CAUGACAGCAAUGAGCAAUAAUCACCAUCUUUGAGUUUCAUGACUAUGAAGCCAACUCAUGCACAACUCUAAGACCUG